CAGGGAAUCUUGCGCAAUGGGCGAAAGCCUGACGCAGCAACGCCGCGUGGGUGAUGAAGGCUUUCGGGUCGUAAAGCCCUUUUCUGUGGGACGAUGAUGACGGUACCGCAGGAAGAAGCCACGGCUAACUACGUGCCAGCAGCCGCGGUAAUACGUAGGUGGCAAGCGUUGUCCGGAGUUAUUGGGCGUAAAGCGCGCGCAGGCGGUUCGGGAAGUCCAUGGUGAAAGCGCCCGGCUCAACUGGGCGAGUGCCGUGGGGACUAUCGGACUGGAGGGGAGCAGAGGCGAGUGGAAUUCCGGGUGUAGUGGUGAAAUGCGUAGAGAUCCGGAGGAACACCAGUGGCGAAGGCGGCUCGCUGGGCUCAACCUGACGCUGAGGCGCGAAAGCGUGGGGAGCGAACCGGAUUAGAUACCCCGGUAGUCC
rnacentral:rRNA from 1 species